GAGGCGGGGGGGAUUACGACCCUUAAGACAUAGUCAGGGGGUCCCCCCCACAAACGUAGCCGCGACUCGACGCUUGGCUCACCUCACAUGUGUCUGUCGAGAGGCCGAGAGAGAGAGGGAGAGGGGGAGAGACCCGCUCUGACUCAGCACGCACAGGUGAUUGGGAGGAUUGUGGAUUUUUCUCGGUUUGGGUUUGGGAUUGGGAUCCUGCUGCGUAUCCGGCUAAUUUAUGCGAUUUACGGCAAUAAAUGUUACACAUUUGCGUUUA